UAAGGAAUAUUGGGCAAUGGACGCAAGUCUGACCCAGCCAUGCCGCGUGCAGGAUGAAGGCCCUAUGGGUUGUAAACUGCUUUUGUACGGGAAGAAACUUCCGCACGUGUGCGGAAUUGACGGUACCGUGCGAAUAAGCACCGGCUAACUCCGUGCCAGCAGCCGCGGUAAUACGGAGGGUGCAAGCGUUAUCCGGAUUCAUUGGGUUUAAAGGGUGCGCAGGCGGAAUGAUAAGUCAGUGGUGAAAUCCUACAGCUCAACUGUAGAACUGCCAUUGAUACUGUCGUUCUUGAGUAUAGUUGAAGUGGGUGGAAUGUAUCAUGUAGCGGUGAAAUGCAUAGAUAUGAUACAGAACUCCGAUAGCGAAGGCAACUCACUAAACUAUAACUGACGCUCAUGCACGAAAGCGUGGGGAGCAAACAGG
rnacentral:rRNA from 2 species